rnacentral:rRNA from 2 species
CUAGUACGAGAGGACCGGAGUGGACGCAUCACUGGUGUUCGGGUUGUCAUGCCAAUGGCACUGCCCGGUAGCUAAAUGCGGAAGAGAUAAGUGCUGAAAGCAUCUAAGCACGAAACUUGCCCCGAGAUGAGUUCUCCCUGAGACUUUAAGUCUCCUGAAGGAACGUUAAAGACGAUGACGUUGAUAGGCCGGGUGUGUAAGCGCAGCGAUGCGUUGAGCUAACCGGUACUAAUGAACCGUGAGGCUUAACCUUACAACGCCGAAG